rnacentral:rRNA from 1 species
AGCGAACGCUGGCGGCAGGCUUAACACAUGCAAGUCGAGCGGGCGUAGCAAUACGUCAGCGGCAGACGGGUGAGUAACGCGUGGGAACAUACCUCUUGGUUCGGAACAACACAGGGAAACUUGUGCUAAUACCGGAUAAGCCCUUACGGGGAAAGAUUUAUCGCCGAGAGAUUGGCCCGCGUCUGAUUAGCUAGUUGGUGAGGUAACGGCUCACCAAGGCGACGAUCAGAGCUGGUCUGAGAGGAUGAUCAGCCACAUUGGGACUGAGACACGGCCCAAACUCCUACGGGAGGCAGCAGUGGGGAAUAUUGGACAAUGGGCGCAAGCCUGAUCCAGCCAUGCCGCGUGAGUGAUGAAGGCCCUAGGGUUGUAAAGCUCUUUUGUGCGGGAAGAUAAUGACGGUACCGCAA